AUUGAACGCUGGCGGCAUGCCUUACACAUGCAAGUCGAACGGCAGCACGGGAGCAAUCCUGGUGGCGAGUGGCGAACGGGUGAGUAAUACAUCGGAACGUGCCCAAUCGUGGGGGAUAACGCAGCGAAAGCUGUGCUAAUACCGCAUACGAUCUACGGAUGAAAGCAGGGGAUCGCAAAACCUUGCGCGAAUGGAGCGGCCGAUGGCAGAUUAGGUAGUUGGUGAGGUAAAGGCUCACCAAGCCGUCGAUCUGUAGCUGGUCUGAGAGGACGACCAGCCACACUGGGACUGAGACACGGCCCAGACUCCUACGGGAGGCAGCAGUGGGGAAUUUUGGACAAUGGGCGAAAGCCUGAUCCAGCCAUGCCGCGUGCAGGAUGAAGGCCUUCGGGUUGUAAACUGCUUUUGUACGGAACGAAACGGCCUUUUCUAAUAAAGAGGGCUAAUGACGGUACCGUAAGAAUAAGCACCGGCUAACUACGUGCCAGCAGCCGCGGUAAUACGUAGGGUGCAAGCGUUAAUCGGAAUUACUGGGCGUAAAGCGUGCGCAGGCGGUUAUGUAAGACAGUUGUAAAAUCCCCGGGCUCACCUCGGAACUGCAUCUGUGACUGCAUAGCUUGAGUACGGUUGGAGGGGGAUGGGAAUUCCGCUUUUCGCUUUUAAAUGCGUAA
rnacentral:rRNA from 1 species